ACACAUAAGGAUUGUAGCAAAGGAGGGUGUUGGAACGAACCGGGCUUUGUACCGGAUUGCCUUUUAACCAGCCUUGAAUAUUUUGAGUGGAGACGUUACAAAGGAACCAAAGGUCAGAGUGAUCUCGUGACCUAUAUCUUGAGGAAUGCUUGUCAUUUGAAAAUGGUGAAGAUACUCACUGAGACAGAUGAUCCUGAAGAGCAGCUUGAGAUGAUUAAGAAGUUAGCAUUCUCCCCUAGAGCAUCAAUUACAUGUCAAGUUGAUUUCGACUGAAAAAAACAUUCUCUAUCCCUAAUCCAUGUAAUGAACGAUCCAGUUCAGUCUUUUUUUAUAAUGUGUGCAUGUGUGGAUAAAUGAUUGAUGUAUCUUUGUUUAUAUUUGGUCUGUAUCACAACAUAGUGAUCCAUAACGAUUGAAGAUUCUCACUCUCUAGCGUUUUUAUUCUUUAGCUAUGUUCUUGCCUUGGGAGUCAAGUCUCAUAAUGGAAGAGAUGAUCUCUGCUUUUAGAUGCCGACGACUUUAGAAGAAACAUUUAAUUAAACCAAAAAGCCACCAGACAUUGAUAUAAACAGACAAAUAUAUUAUUUUCGUCUUAACAUUUUUCAUACACCGAAUCAGCAUUGAGAUAAAGAAACAUACAUAUAGAUAAGUAGCUAACAAUAUCAAAGAUCACUUCUGUUUUCUAUCUUUUCCUUUCUUCCUAUGAACAAUCUCAUCAGAAUAGCACACUCCAAUACGCUUGUAUGGCUCUGCUGGCCUCCAUUUCCUUACCGUAGCAGCAAACUGCCCAAUCUCACACUUGUCAUAUCCACUCACUAUGACUAUCGUUAUCUUAACUUUUUCACCUUUACCAAAAAGUAUAAUCUUCUUAUCCACUUUCACUUUGAGACUAUCUGGUAUCUCAAUCUUAACCGGGUGAGAAAACCCAAGAUUCAACACCAAUUCUUUUCCUUGGACCAUCGCACGAUAACCAACACCUUUGAGCUCAAGUGUUUUCUCAAAUCCCUUUGAUACUCCCACAACCAUGUUGUCAGUAAGCGUCCUAACAUUAAAAAAGGGAUGUCAGCACUAAAAUUAAAGUCUUUCGUUGAAAAAGGCUAAGAGUUUUGUAACCUGAAAAGGCCAUGCAUUUCUUUGGCUCUUCUAGUUUCCACGGUUUUUGUGACCCUCAAGAAACCGGAGUCUUCUUCAAUAAGCUCAACUUCUGGUGGGUAAGUUAAAGCGAGUUCUCCCAAAGGACCCUUCACUUUUAAGUCUUGACCUUGUAUUUAAAUGGUAACAUUGGACGGUACAGCGAUUGGCUGCUUUCCUAUCCUUGAUUCUUUGCGCUUGGUGGUCUUAGCAGAGACACCCACUUGAGCAAAUGGGGUGGUUGAGACCUUGAGUAGCCUUCUUCUGUCGCCUAAGAACCCUGACCUGAAAAACAAAGGGAGCUUAUAUCUUCAAAGAGAUAACAUUCUUACAAAGUAAUCGGACCACAAGAUACUUAACUUACAAAUAUAAAAUUUCAAAACAAAAAAACAUCAAGAAAGUCAAAAAACGAGUAUCGGACUACAAGAUACUCAACCAUGUAUCCUUCAUUUUUAAUAUAAUCUGAGUGUUUAAAAAAAAAGCUUCUCAAGUAUAUCUUUAGAUCAUGGAUGAAAUACAACAAAGGGUAAAAGGAAAUAACCCUAAAGACUAAGCCAAAACACAAAGGCCAAAGGAUAACGAAGGUCCUUGGAGACAACAACAAGCCGGCGAACAUAAACACAUUCCCGGAAGCCAGAUAAACCAUAAUAUCUAAUAAAGCAAAAACAUACUCUACACAAGUAAAGCAAACAAAACCCUAGUGAAAAUCAAGAAACUAUAGUAAAGAUAAGAAUUUAUGGUAUACAUUGGUAGAAAACAAGAGAGGAAUGAGGAAGCCAUUGCUUUCUAAAAAGAUUGUCUAAGGAGCUCUUUCUGAUCUAGAAGGAGAAUAGUGGAGAGAGUUUAUGAGCCAGUUAAGGAUUCGGCGAGAAGAUAUGUUGUGACGCGACGUGACGUGCAUGUGUGGGAAAAGGAGACAACGUAAGACUGUGUCUCGAUUAAGGAGACACAGCUGGUAAGCAUAUUAAAAAAAAUUAAACAAACUAAAUAAAUAAAUAAAACUAUACUACUACACAAUCCAGGUUUAAGCCCACCAAAAAAUUAAAAUUAUGCAGCUCUGCUAAUUAAUAGGCCGUCAGAAAAAUUAAAGAUAAGUAGACGUCAUAUUGUGAGCAGUAAAAGAAAAAGGGCAAGUUAGAAAAAUCAGCAUUGGUGGAGAUUAAUUAAGAAACCACAAAAAGAUUAGUAUACAAAAAAAAAAAAAAAAUCCACAAAAAGAUAUCCCGAGUUUGAAUAUUUCAGUCAGAAUACUGUUAAAUGUUUUAAAUGUUCCAUGACUUUUGUUUUGGCUCAUCACAUUGUUCUUUUUUUUUUGGUGUUGAUGAUUCAGUAUACUUUUUAACUCUAAAAAGCAAGAACUUAAAAAAUUUAAGAUGAAUACGCAAUUUAAGCUGAAUACAGUGACUUGAAAUUGUAAAACAGACCCCUAAUGAAUGAAACAUCUUAAUAAGUUAUAUCAUUGUUCUUUUUAUCAAGGUUUCUUAUUUUCUCGGAAACUAAAACAAUCGGCAUAUUGUUAAAAAUUUGCAAGUAUAUUUUGGUUUCAAUUGGCAUAUGGAUGAACAUAUGGCGACACUGAAUCUAAGGUUGAAGGACAAUUUUUCAACAACUUGUUCAUCUAGAGAUAUGUACAUGUAAACCCCAGUGGUGGAAUCUACUAGUGUGUCUGCUCACAGCGACUCCUAAACUACGAGUUCUCAAGCUUAAAUGGGUAUAAAACCGUUUCUGUAAGCUUAUCACCUCUCAUGUUUCCUUGUCUUGGUUAGACGAUCUAAUACCAAAAUGUUCAUUUCAGACACAUAAGGAUUGUAGAAAAGGAGGGUGUUGGAACGAACCCGGUUCUGUACCGGAUUGCCUGUUAACCAGUUUUGAAAAAAUUGAGUGGAGACGUUACAAAGGAACUAAAGAUCAAGAGUGAUCUUGUGACUUAUAUCUUGAGGAAUUCUUGUCAUUUCAAGACGGUGAAGAUAUUCACUGAGUCAGAUGAUCAUGAGGAGCAACUUGAGACGAUAAAGAAGUUAGCAUUCUCACCUAGAGCAUCAAUUACAUGUCAAGUUGAUUUCGAC
rnacentral:lncRNA from 1 species